AUAACAUUUAGACAGUCGGUCUACAAAUCAAUUUCACUCACUCGGUGGAAGAUCUUCUUUUUGUAAU
rnacentral:pre_miRNA from 1 species